rnacentral:tRNA from 1 species
GCUUCUGUGUCCGAGUGGUCUAAGGAGUUCGACUCAAGCUCGAAUCUCGUAAGAGGCAUGGGUUCGAACCCCAUCGGAAGUA